AUGAGAGGAAAGAGGAGAGCAGU
rnacentral:piRNA from 1 species